GACGAACCGUGCGAACGUUGUUCGGAAUCACUGGGCUUAAAGGGCGCGUAGGCGGGUGGUCAAGUCAGGGGUGAAAUCUUUCAGCUCAACUGGAAAACAGCUUCUGAUACUGGCCGUCUUGAGGGGGGUAGGGGCAUGUGGAACUUCCGGUGGAGCGGUGAAAUGCGUAGAUAUCGGAAGGAACACCGGUGGCGAAAGCGGCGCGCUGGACCUCUUCUGACGCUGAGGCGCGAAAGCCAGGGGAGCGAACGGG
rnacentral:rRNA from 1 species